rnacentral:rRNA from 1 species
UUUGAGAGUUUGAUCCUAGCUCAGGAUGAACGCUGGUGGCGUGUUUUAGGCAUGCAAGUCGAGCGAAUAGACCCCUUCGGGGGUGGAAAAGCGGCAGACGGCUUAGUAACGCGUGGGAAUCUGCCCUAUGGUUAAGGAUAGCCUCGUGAAAGUGAGGGUAAUCCUGGAUAAGUUCCGAGGGUAACCGAGGAAGAAAGGGUGUAACAACCCGCCGUAGGAGGAGCCUGCGUCUUAUCAGGUAGUUGGUGGGGUAAAAGCCUACCAAGCCUAUGACGAGUAGGGGGCGUGAGAGCGCGAUCCCCAAGAAUGGGACUGAGACACGGCCCAUACAUCUACGGAUGGCAGCAACCAAGAAUCGUUCGCAAUGGGGGAAACCCUGACGACGCAACGCCGCGUGUGGGAUUAAGGUCUUCGGAUCGUAAACCACUGUGGUAAGGGAGGAAAUCCAGCAUAGCUGGACUGACAGUACCUUACUAGAAAGCAGCUGCUAACUACGUGCCAGAAGCCUCGGUAAUACGUAGGCUGCGAGCGUUAUCCGGAGUCACUGGGCGUAAAGGGACGCGUAGGCGGCAUGGUAAGUCUUGUCUUAAAGACUACGGCUCAACCGUAGAUAUGGACUAGAUACUAUCAAGCUAGAGUAUGGUAGGGGGAGCUGGAAUUUCUGGUGUAGCAGUGAAAUGCGUUGAUAUCAGAAGGAACACCAAAGGCGAAGGCAGGCUCCUGGGCCAUUACUGACGCUGAGGCUCGAAAGCCAGGGGAGCGAAAGGGAUUAGAGACCCCUGUAGUCCUGGCCAUAAACGCAUGGAUGCUAGAUUCCUGGUCCCGCUUAGCGGGAUUGGGAGUCGCAAGUUAACACGUUAAGCAUCCCGCCUGGGUAGUACGAUCGCAAGGUUGAAACUCAAAGGAAUUGACGGGGACCCGCACAACCAGUGGAGCGUGUGGUUUAAUUCGAGACAAAGCGAAGAACCUCACCUAGGCUUGACAUGUUUUUCUUAAUGUCUUCAUAGAAACAUGGGGAAAAUCCGUUUACGGAUGGGAAUACACAGCUGCUGCAUGGCUGUCGUCAGCUCGUGUCGUGAGAUGUACCUUUAAGUAGGAUAACGAGCGCAACCCCUAUUGUUAGUUACAAGUGUCUAACGGGACUGCCCAGGUUUUAUAAUCUGGGAGGAAGGAGGGGAUGACGUCAAGUCAGCAUGGCGCUUACGCCUAGGGCUACACACACGCUACAAUGGGAAGGACAACGGGCAGCGACCUGGUAACAGUGAGCAAAUCCAUAAACCUUCCCUCAGUUGGGAUUGAGGGCUGAAAUUCGCCCUCAUGAACGAGGAAUUGGUAGUAAUCGCGGAUCAGCACGCCGCGGUGAAUACGUUCUCGGGUCUUGUACACACCGCCCGUCAAGCCAACAAAGUCGGUAGCACCCGAAGGUCCAGUUUACUGGGACGAAGGUGAGAUCGGUAAUGGGGACUAAGUCGUAACAAGGUAGCUGUUCUGGAAGGAGCGGCUGGAUCACCUCCUUUCUAA